GACGAACGCUGGCGGCGUGCCUACUACAUGCAAGUCGAGCGACUUAUCCUUCGGGAUUUGGAGCGGCGGACGGGUGAGUAACACGUAGGUAACUUAUCCAAUAGACGGGGAUAAUCUCUGGAAACGGAGGGUAAUACCGGAUACGCCUCCUGGAUCGCAUGGUCCGGGUGGGAAAGAUUCCUUCGGGAGUCGCUUUUGGAGAGACCUGCGGUGCAUUAGCUAGUUGGUGAGGUAAUGGCUCACCAAGGCGACGAUGCAUAGCCGGCUUGGGAGAGCGGACGGCCACACUGGGACUGAGACACGGCCCAGACUCCUACGGGAGGCAGCAGUAGGGAAUUUUCCGCAAUGGGCGCAAGCCUGACGGAGCGACGCCGCGUGGGUGAAGACGGCCUUAGGGUUGUAAAGCCCUGUUCAUCGGGAAGAAGAAAUGACGGUACCGGUGAAGAAAGCCCCGGCUAACUACGUGCCAGCAGCCGCAGUAACAC
rnacentral:rRNA from 1 species